GCAAACUUGGUCAUUUAGAGGAAGUAAAAGUCGUAACAAGGUUUCCGUAGGUGAACCUGCGGAAGGAUCAUUACCGAGUGAGGGCCCCUUGCGGGCCCAACCUCCCACCCUUGUCUCUGUGAUACCCUGUUGCUUCGGCGGGCCCACUGGGGAAACCCGGUCACUGGGGGGCACUGUGCCCCCGGGUCCGUGCCCGCCGGAGCGCCCCUGGAAGUCUGAUGAAGAUGGGCGGUCUGAGUGAGAUGUGAAAUGUCAAAACUUUCAACAAUGGAUCUCUUGGUUCUGGCAUCGAUGAAGAACGCAGC
rnacentral:misc_RNA from 1 species